CGUUCAAACCCAGUCAAGAGCCCCAGAAAUAGAAACCAACAUAUACUCUCCGAUGCAUACAUCAUAACAAUGUCGCCUUUUCCCGCUACCACUACGUCGUUAAAAAAAAAAAAAGCCAGCUUCGAAUAGUUACUUACACAGCAGCUAAAGAAGAAAAAGACGAAGCACGUACUGACAUCAAAGCCGGCGCCCUGGUGCCACGGCAUCAUGCUUACCGUCGGCUGCCGGCUGCUCGGCGCCGCGCCAUUUCUACAACCGAAAUUCACCUAAAAUGCGGACCCCCGAAAGGGGUGCACUGCUUCAUGUCGGUAAACAACGACACAGUCGCUGUGACUGCCUUCAUCGUGGCAACAGUAUUAAUUGUCCUCAGAAGAUCCCUCCGCAAGAUGGUGAUCCUGUGCAUUAUCUUCCCAAGCAUGCCGAUGUUGACCCUGGUUGCCAUCAACAGCCUUCGUCCCGGGGCUGAGCUGCUGCUGAGCUUGGUGACGAUUUCAGUCAUCAGCUUCUUGCGACGCAAGUUUUUCUACAACUAGAAGGAAGCCACGUAAAAAUGCAGACGUUUAUUUACUAUUUACAAGACAUGCAGUACGAAGAAAAAAAAUACUGCACAAACAACACAUAUUGUCAAAAUUAACAGAAAUGAACACUUAUGCUACUUAAAA